UUGGGAAUAUUGGACAAUGGGGGAAACCCUGAUCCAGCAAUGCCGCGUGGGUGAUGAAGGCCUUCGGGUUGUAAAGCCCUUUUGGCGGGGACGAUGAUGACGGUACCCGCAGAAUAAGCCCCGGCUAACUUCGUGCCAGCAGCCGCGGUAAUACGAAGGGGGCUAGCGUUGUUCGGAAUUACUGGGCGUAAAGGGCGCGUAGGCGGCCGUGCAAGUCAGAUGUGAAAGCCCUGGGCUCAACCCAGGAGGUGCAUUUGAUACUGCAUGGCUAGAGUGUCGGAGAGGAUGGUGGAAUUCCCAGUGUAGAGGUGAGAUUCGUAGAUAUUGGGAAGAACACCGGUGGCGAAGGCGACCAUCUGGACGACAACUGACGCUGAGGCGCGAAAGCGUGGGGAGCAAACAGGAUUAGAUACCCUGGUAGUCCACGCCGUAAACUAUGCGUGUUGGACGUUGGCGAGCCUAGCUCGUCGGUGUCGCAGCUAACGCGUUAAACACGCCGCCUGGGGAGUACGGCCGCAAGGUUA
rnacentral:rRNA from 1 species